rnacentral:rRNA from 1 species
UACGAAGGGUGCAAGCGUUAGUCGGAAUUACUGGGCGUAAAGCGUGCGUAGGCGGUUUCUUAAGUCCGUUGUGAAAGCCCUGGGCUCAACCUGGGAACUGCAGUGGAUACUGAGAGGCUAGAGUGUGUCAGAGGAUGGUGGAAUUCCCGGUGUAGCGGUGAAAUGCGUAGAGAUCGGGAGGAACAUCAGUGGCGAAGGCGGCGACCUGGUCCGUGACUGACGCUGAGGCGCGAAAGCGUGGGGAGCAAACAGG